GCUCUGGAGGACUAGUGGUUAGGCCUCAGCGCUCUAGCCACCGCAGCCCGGGUUAAAUUCCCGACCAGGGAA